rnacentral:rRNA from 1 species
UACGAGGGGGGCGAGCGUUGCUCGGAAUUAUUGGGCGUAAAGGGUGCGUAGGCGGUUUGGUAAGUCUGAUGUGAAAUCUAUGGGCUCAACUCAUAGUCUGCAUCGGAAACUGCCGGGCUUGAGUGUGGGAGAGGUGAGUGGAAUUCCUGGUGUAGCGGUGAAAUGCGUAGAUAUCAGGAGGAACACCUGUGGCGAAAGCGGCUCACUGGACCAUAACUGACGCUGAUGCACGAAAGCUAGGGGAGCAAACAGG